CGGUUUCCCUGCGACACUGAAAAUAAAUUUCCAACGUCUAACACACAUCGUUUACGGCAUGGACUACGAGGGUAUCUAAUCCUCUUCGCUACCCAUGCUUUCGUUCCUCAGUGUCAGUAAUGAUCCAGAAAGCUGCCUUCGCAAUUGGUAUUCUUUCUAAUAUCUACGAAUUUCACCUCUACACUAGAAAUUCUGCCUUCCUCUAUCAUACUCUAGCUGAAAAGUUUUGAUGGCAGUUCCAGAGUUAAGCUCUGGGAUUUCACCACCAACUUUUUCAACCACCUACGAACUCUUUAAGCCCAGUAAUUCCGAACUACGCUAGGUCCCUUCGUAUUACCGCGGCUGCUGGCACGAAGUUAGCCGGACCUUCUUAUUCGGGUACAGUCAUUUUCUUCCCCGACGAAAGAGCUUUACAACCCAAAGGCCUUCUUCACUCACGCGGCAUCGCUGCAUCAGAGUUUCCUCCAUUGUGCAAGAUUCCCCACUGCUGCCUCCCGUAGGAGUUUGGGCCGUGUCUCAGUCCCAAUGUGGCUGAUCAUCCUCUCAAAUCAGCUAUUGAUCAUAGUCUUGGUAGGCCAUUACCCUACCAACAAACUAAUCAAGUGCGGGCUCCUCCAAUGGUGCAUAAAGCUUUCUCCGUAAAGACUUAUCCGGUAUUAGCACAAGUUUCCUCGUGUUAUUCCAGGCCAAAGGGUAGAUACCCACAUGUUACUCACCCGUCUGCCACUAAGUAUUGCUACUUCGUUCGACUUGCAUGUGUUAGGCGUGCCGCCAGCGUACGUUCUGAGCCAGGAUCAAACUCU
rnacentral:rRNA from 1 species